UGUGGCUGUCGUAAAAACCCUAUUUGUAAACAACCAGCCCUUUAACUCGGGGCUGCGUCAUAAACACGGCGCGCUUGGAAGACCACGAUGUCAUCUUCCUUCUGUCAGGAGGAUCCAAGUGAAGCUACAGGAGUUUCAUUAACGUCAACAACUUGGACCGAACGGUUUGUUUUGCUUGAUGAAGAGCAGGAAGGGCAGCCUGGAGAGAAAGAGAAGCCGGGUUGAGCCCACUACCAUCAUCCACGUACCACGAGGAAGAUGAGGGAGAGAAAUGAUCCUACCAUUAAAGAGACUGUGAAAAGAACGUUGAGAACAUCACCACUCUACAGGAAGACACAGUCCAGUAAUGGGUGUCAGAAGUUCAGUAGUGAACGACAGAAACAAACAAUCCAAAUUACCUGCAGAAAGCCCUUGAUGGACGCUUCAGCUGCAUCGUCAGACUGGAAGGACUGAUGCAUUUACUGAGACGGGUCGUGAGGGCCUACUCUGCGUGCUCAGAGUUCAAGCCCAGCAGGCUGCAGCGGGCCUGACAUAUUCUGGAACAGCAGCACAGUCUUUGGAUGACUCCUCUGAAGAUGAAAACAUGGCGAGUUCUUCUCAAGAGAAGCAGUACAGGUGUGCCUCAGCUCCACGGUCCCUCCUGCAGCCUCCGCUCCUGAUGCUAACCUCAUGUCUCCAUCACACCAAGCAGCAGACCUGGAUUGACAGACCUUUCUCCAGAGCUGCCCCCUCCCUCUGAAACCCCCCUCUCCAAAACACUAUUUGUGUAGUUUUUAAAGUAUUUUUUGCAU